rnacentral:rRNA from 1 species
UCCUACGGGAGGCAGCAGUUGGGCGAAAGCCUGAUCCAGCCAUGCCGCGUGUGUGAAGAAGGUCUUCGGAUUGUGAAGCACUUUAAGUUGGGAGGAAGGGCAGUAAAUUAAUACUUUGCUGUUUUGACGUUACCGACAGAAUAAGCACCGGCUAACUCUGUGCCAGCAGCCGCGGUAAU